rnacentral:rRNA from 1 species
AUGUUUGGCCUGUGGAUGCAGUCGGCGCUCGAUGCUUGCUCGGUGUGGCCCUCCUUCCGUGUUCUUAGUUGGCUAGUUGGUGUAGGCGUAGUGUUGGGCGUCGGCAUCAGUGUUUCUGCUGUUGCCAUUGUGUUGUUCUACCUACUGCCUUGUAUCUUCCUUUCCGUUUUGCUUUGCAUUUCAUCUAUAUCAUGGUGCCUUUGUAAUCCUAGCCGGUUGAUGACUUUGUUAAUUCAAAGUCGGGCUAGGUUCGAGCUCUUCUCGGGCUCGGCCGGUGCCUUUUCUCUAAAAAAAGGUGUGGAAGGACGACAACAGGCUGGAGCAGCACGAUGA